ACAAAACGCGAGCAGGGGUUGGGGUGAAUGCGUAUGGGGGGGACGUUACUCUGGAUUACGGUGCGGUAAGUGGUCGCAGGCGGCCGCGCAAGUCGAUGGUUAAAGCCCCGAGCUGAACUUUGGAACUUCGCUCGAAACGACGUGGCUGGAGUGUGGCAGAGGAAGGUGGAAUUCCACGUGUAGCGGUGAAAUGCGUAGAGAUGUGGAGGAACACCGAUGGCGAAGGCAGCCUUCGGGGCCAACACUGACGCUCAUGCACGAAAGCGUGGGGAGCAAACAGGAUUAGAUACCCGUGUAGUC
rnacentral:rRNA from 1 species